GGAUUGAUGAUUACUCCCACAAAUGCAUUCCUUGGAAAUCUGAACAGAAUGAGUGAGCAAUCCCUACUGUCUCAUCAGAACUGAGGUCC